AACCCUAAAACCAAUAAAGGACCGAAACAUAGCUAAAAAACAAAAACACAAAAACUUAAAACCAAUAGUGAGGUGCAAGAUAUGUGAACCCAACAGAGCAGUUUCAUUUCUUAAUCAAUCUUUACAAUCACGAAUCUUAGUUAAUCAAUCUUUACAAUCACGAAUCUUAGUUCCUAGAAGUGGCGUAUUGAAACCAAAAGAAAAUAGGCUUAAAAAUGGAAAUAGAAACCCUAAAACCUAGAUCAGAAAGGAAGAAAAUAGGCCAUGCAUCUGAAACAGGGAAACCAGAAAAUGCACCAAAAAAAUCCCUAGAAAAGGAAGAAAAAUGGGUACCUGCUUAAAGUUGCCGUGAUGAGAGAACAGAGAGCGAUUCUUGCUGAGCAAAGUGCUGCAUCAUCUGCAGAUGCCGAAGGAAGAGAAUAUUCUUUUAUCAGCCCCCAAGCAAUCAACACUUGAUAAUUGUAAGCUUCCUUCUGGCAUAUCUAUUUGCGCCUCUGCCAGCCAAUCUCAAGGCGACAGUCUUUGAAGCACGUCAUAGCAUACAUACUUGCAGACAUUUAACAGGUAAUCAAAUUGGCCAGCUUGACAAAAAUCUUGAAGUGGCACUCUAUUUUAUCAAUUUUAACUACACAAGUAUCUCCUGAAUUAGUGCUCAAUGGACUUGAGCACAAUGAUUUCAUUCUAAAAAAAAGUUGGCUUGAGAUUCCCCGUGUUUCCUUUCUCCUUUAGCCUUUCUUUAAUUUCUAUGCCCUUUUUAUUUUGUCAAGAAAAGUGCAGUGUUUUGUAUUGUUUAAAGCCAAAACAUUUCCUACUCCUAUAGGAGUAUACUAUCCAUGUACUCCCUCGAGCAAAUCUAAUGCUAGCAAUAUUCUCUAGAUGCAUGUAAUCUAUAAAACCUGGGGACCAAGCUCAAAAGGGAAAAAAAUUUAACUCUCACUCUCUAUUUAUCUUAAAACAAAAGAUGACAUUCUAAGAUUGCACACGAACCAUUCAAUAUUUGGAAGGAAAGAUCUAGAUGCUCAAGAAGUGAAAAUCGAAAUAUUUUCCUUACUAUUAAUCGAGUGAUAGUUGGAUGGAUCCCAAAACUGGACUCAAAAAAAGAAAGUACCCUGAAUUACUAUUUUACCUUAGGGAGUUAUCGCACAGUAUGCUACUGCCAGAGCAUGCUAUACGCGCCAUUGCUUGAAAAGGAAGGUGGACUUGGUGCUCAAAGAUCAUCCACCCAUGAGUGAUAUUGCCAUGAACUUAAAAUAUGGAAAGAGAUAAGCACACAAUUCUAACAGGUACAGUGUUUUCAAUGUGCAUGCACACCAUGGGUAAGCUAGAAUGAUCUUAACCGUCCAUUUAUGCAUGUAGGAUGGAUGAACUAGAAUGAUCUUAACUGGGGUUAGUGUCCAUCAAUCAUGGUGGAGUAGUGAUGAUGAAUAUAUACGGGAAAAUGUGCAUGAAAUAUGAUCCCAUAUUGAGAUGACCAUAUAACAAGAUCAGUUGCACAUAGAAGAACAAAAAAUGAAACCCUUUGGUAGCACCAAGUGGUCUUUAGAUGCGCUAUGCUUAGAUUUUCUGUAGUCUACAGUAGAAUAACCUAAAUCCAUGAUGUAUGGAUUUGGGGAAAAAAAAAAUUUCAAGUCUUAAAAAUAGUACAUAUUGAAACAUAUUAUUUAGAUUGUUUUUUCAA